UGAAAGGAAGAGGCUACGAUAAUGAGGUAAAUAACAGAUGCUGAUGACAUCCACUAAGUAUCGGUUCCUUAUGCAACUUUUCCUAGUUCCAGAACAGCGCACACACAGUCGAGUCACGUUAUUCUAACUACUUCCUACUUUCGACAUUGGCAGCGUGUAGCACAUGAAGAAGUCCCGUGUGGCGAGCUGGCUUGGUGGGUAUAUGAGACACAUCACCAACACCAUGAAACAAAAGGGGGGAAAUGAGGGUGAUGUCAUGGACUCAGGAAAAUCUAAUUACCGACCCUGAGUCUUCUGUGCCUACUUGAUUAAGUUCAAAAAUAGAAGCCACUAUCCAGGCAGAAAAAACCCACAUGACAGCCCAAGUGCACCCCUGCACACUCCUCCUCGGGGUCUGAGAAAACAGCAAUACCAAAACUAAGGCAUUUCUAAAGUCCUAUACUGAAUCCUAAGGAAGAAAACACAUGGGAAAAUUUGUCAUACUUGGAACAUACUGCAUUUUGAAAAAAACACCAUGGACCCAAAAGAAGUACUAAAGGUUAAGAAAAUGUCAC